UACACAUGGUGUUGGUCCUGCUGAGCAUUGUUUCUGUGAGUUUGUGUUGGAUUCUUUGUUCUCCUGUGGACCUUUUUUGGAUUUUCCUGCUUCUUUGUGAACUGUGUUCCACCUGGGACUCAUUCCCUUGCUUUCACCUAUGCUAGCCGGUACUUAUCUGCUCAUUACCUGUCUGCUCACCUCUGCCUGUUCUUGCCUGCAUAUCACCCAACAAUAAACAAGGUAGUCAUCCGGCUACUUUUCCCUGAGACUGCUUCCUCGUCAUCUGCUUUUGGGUCCACAUACCUCUAUACAGCACCCCUUACGACAAGUCGACUCUGUAUUGGAUCAUUUGAGAGUACAUUUCCAAAGUUCUACCAAUCAUCACACAGGUUGUGUAUUAAACUCAGAAGAUGGAGUUGAAAACAAACGCCUGCGCUUGUGUUGCACUGACAUACUGAAUUAAAGACCUGAGCACAACUCAAAUGAUCUCAGUUCACUAUAGGCAUAGACAAGAGAGUCUUAGUUAUGUUGCGUACUUGCCUGAAAAUGUUGAACAUUUUUCUAUGCGCCGACAGAAUGGUAUUGUAAAUGGAAUAUUGUUUGGACCUAAUGUUUAAUUUUAUCAUGUAGUGUCAUUUAGCAUAAGUGUUUUUAUAUGAAUUUUUUAUAAUUACUCAAGGCAAUAUCUUCCUUGCAGUAUUUUGUAAAUGACGCUAAAAGACAAACAACGUGGAUAUUGCUGUAUGGGCGCAACAGAUACUAGACGGCAAUGAGAGCAGCUGUAAAUAUCAUAUUGUAAGAGACUAAUAAAAAUGUGAUGGUCUAUAUUAUUUAAAAAGCGUGUCGUGAUAAUUAUUUAAAAUUUAAGAUGGUUAAAAUGGUUAACAAACUCGAAGAAGAAAAAGAUGUAACUCUUGUGAGGGGGAGGUGGUGUUCUCAGUACAGCUUACUGUAGAUCACACACAAUCUUUACAUUUCAUUCAGAAAGAAUACUUUCAAAACGUAGUAGAUGAAUUCCCAGAGUUUGCUGGCGUGUAUUUCCAGAGCGACUCUCCUAUCACAACCAGCUGACAUCCCAAACUUUUUGAGUAUUUGUUAGAACUGAUCACCUUCAGAGGCUCCACCCAUGAAGCUGAUGCCAAAGUGGUCUCCUUCCAGUACCAAGAGCUGUGGGGUAAGUUGGUGUUAUUAUUUUGAUUUACACAUCCAAAUAUGAAGAACAACACGUGAAGAUCAAAUAUAAUCUCUUUAAGUCAUAAUUUACAACAGUGCUUCUCAAACUUUUUUUGUCACGCGCCCCUUCCGAAGUUGAAAGAAAUGCCACCCCAGAAAAAGUGGAUUUAAUUUUUAUCAAAUCAUUUACAAUUUGGGCAAUUGAAGUAAACAAAAGACUCAGCUUAGGAAGAUAGCCUUGCUAGUAUCAAAGCACUUUUGUUUAUGUCCACCCAAUAUGUGUAAUAUAUAAUGUACUAAUAUUGUGACCCUGCUCUGACACUUCCUCCUUUUCCUCGCUGUGUGCUAAAAGGGGAUCAGUGACCUGUACAUGAACGCUGAUUGUUAUAUUAUGUUGUUGUUGUUGCUGAUGCUGCAGCUGCUGCGUUACUAGUGUAUUUCAGUAUCUACAACUGAAGAUGGCGACCCCAGUAAUCCGCGUCGUCAAGCCAGAUGCCCUGCAAAUUGUCGACAGGCUGUACUGAUGGCGACCAAAGAGGCCCGUUACUGUCGAGAGAAAAGGAUGGUCUUCCCCAAACCCCCACAGGAGCUGCUCAACCCGGCCACUGCCCUGGCCCACGCAGAGAAGCUCCUUCGAGCAGAGGGUAUCCCCGCACCGUCGCGUCAGCUGUGCCUGGGAAAGCUGUAUGAGAAUGCACCAUUCCACUGGCUUGUGGCAAACGAUGCGGGCUGCAUGAAGUACGUACUUGACAAACACAGAUCAGAGGUGACAAACCCACAUAGAAAGGGAGAGAUGGUGAACCAGUGGGUGAAAGACUACCUCACAGAACAUGCAGAGAGCUUCCCACAGUCUGCAGUCCCCUCGAGGCCAACAUCGACAGGUGUGUCUACGGUCAGAGAGGGUUUGAGGUUUACACCUUUCAGGAGGUGUGGGAGCUCUACAGCCAGUACCACACCCAAAGGAACAGGCCAGGGCAAUUCAGUGAUGAGCAGAGGGUGACAACACAGAAGGCCCACAGUUCUGUGAGGAACCCACAUCACAAGUGUGCAGAUGAAGAGGUUCAAGAAAUAUAUUAAUGACAAGGAGCAAGUGAGUGUUGAUUUGAUUAUGUAUUUGUUAUGGAACGGCAAGAGCAGAAUAGCAUAGUAAAUGGAAAUUGUUCAAAUUACUGAUAUUUUGAGCACUUUGGCUAAAUGUGUUUGUUUGCUUUUGGUAAUUUAAAACCGCUACCUCCUAAAAUCCAGAUAGUUACGCAGGCUUCAUCGUGGCCGGGCGAUGGCGCUGAACUGAGAGCUGCAAGUCGGGCUGUGGAAGGUAAGUGAGAUGCAGAGCUAAUAGACACCAAACCGUUUGUUUUUCACUGAUGUAUAACAAAAAAACUACUUUAUUUGGUAAAUUCUCAGACUCGCUCAAGUCCCAAGAGUCCUGCAGUCAGACUAGCAGUCAGUCUCUGGAUUCCCAGUCCCGGGGUUCCCGACCCACAGACAAGACCAAGCAGCCUGAGCCCGCUGUCGGGCCAAAACUGUCCUGGUUUUUUUAAUGGUUCAUUUUAAAACAAAUUGGGACUGUGACUAUCUGUGGAUGUGAUACGGUGCCUCCCAUUUUUCUUUCAUUCUUGAUGCAUCUUCUGAGGGUUCUGGUGACAGCUGUCAACGACAACAGUGAUGUUGGCGUUAAUUGUGUUCUUGUAUUUAUGUGUGUAUGUUUGCCGCCUCAACAGCCGCUGUCAGCAGCUGUUUUUCGGAACAGCUGCUGUUCAGACUCCAGCAGCUGCUCGGACUGGAGUACCUUUUUUAGCCAGUACCUGUUCAGCUAGAGCACCGGUGAAUCUGGACCCUUCUCUCUUCAGGACAUUGUCAACAAUGGUCCUGGUCCAGAGGAGGAGGUGGUUCAGCCUGGGCAGCCCGAUCCAGAUCCUGAAGCAGACGAGGCGUACCAGAGCGACCUGGAGGCACAUGACGAUGUGCUCGAUGGUAUCCUGCCCCACAUUACGCUCACCAGCAAUGGAACCUCCACUGUUCACCCUCCGGCCUUUAUUGAAGAAGAUGAAGUUUCGGGAAGUCUGAAAAGGCGAGGGAUCGAUGCCUUACAUAUGAAGACUCGGGCAGCUGAAGCAAAGCUCAUGCUUUACCAGAAAAUGAGAAGUGUAACUGAGCGCCUCCAUCUGCAGCACGCCUUUGUUCUCUGCCAAAAGUGACACACGGCAGCCGGGUGCAAGGGCUGCUCCCAUCCAGCGUCUCAAACAGCUGGAAGCUACAUCACGCCACUGUGAUGUUUCCCCAACAUGUACCAGACUGCCCCUCUACGCAUGGUCACAUCACCCCAGGCAACCCCGCCUGUCUCAGGCCCUCCCCAUGUCGAGCAUACAGACACUGAUAUACAAGGAUGAUGAGGAUGAUGAGGAUGACGACAAUGAUAGCAACUGAGACUGUAAGCACUCGUGACCGGGGCUGGUUUGUGGCUUCCUGAUUUUUAAUGAUUACUUUAAGCAAGCUUGUAUGUUUUGUUAUUUAUCAUUCAAAAUGUCUCCUUAAUUCAGUGCUAACCAAAAUGAGCUGUGAGCUGUUCUGUCAAUCUAAACCCAAAAACUUGGUUUAAACUUGCUCUUUUUGGACAAACACACUGUUUUUGUAGAAGUUGUUGUCUCAGUGACUUUCUAAAGUCUUGCAGUACUCAGGGUACAGCCAGCUUUGGUGUAAUGAAUAACAUUACAAUUAACACUAAUCAUAUUAUUCUAUCUGUACAUCAUGUUUUUUGUAAAAAGGACACAUUUGUAAAAGAGGGCUUGCUCUCUGUGUUUUCCACGUGUAAAUGAAGGUUACUGCUACUCACUUUCAGUUUCUAAAAAUGAAAAGGAACAUGCAGGUGUAUGACUAGAAUACAGCUCUCCCACUAUGAGUUAUCGUCAUGUCAUUGUCACGGCAGAAAUUAAUAAAAGAGCUGAGAGCUUUACUUGAUAAAUGAAUUAUUAUACAAUGAUUUUACAGUCGUAAUUGGCCAGACAUAGUUUGUUACAUCGGUGUUUUUGGCAUGAAAAGCUCCUUCAUCCAGGCCUCUUCCCAUUGGCUGCUUUCGGACAGUCGCUGACGUAAUGCGGAAGCUGUAAACCACGGGAUGUUCGACUCCUGUUUUGGCUCAAAUAUCUGAAAUAAGCCAACAUCUUUACUUUUUCUUAACAUAGAUCAUCUAGAUGCAGUGUAAUUACCAGUUCGGCUGCGCCAGAUAUUUGAUUUAUUUGGGAGAUAUAUCUUUUUACGACCCCAUUUAUGUUCGGCUGUAGUAGAUAUUUGAUUUAUUUAGUAAAUAUAUCUUUAAGACCCUAACCGGAUGAACUACAACUGUGGUGCUGAUUUGUAUCAGGCUGCAUGGCGCGGCUCUAUGGAAUUGUAGUUUUUAUGAAAUAUUAGUGUUUUUCAAAAGAUUGUAAAUUGUAAAGACUGAAUUGAGAGGACACUGUGGAGUUUAAGGGGAAGGUAAAAACAUUUGUGUAACCAGAUUUUAAAUAUUCCUGUUCUGCUCACAUCACAUCAAUGUCAAUCAUUCUUACAUUUACAACGACACCACUUCAUCUGCUUCUGAUGCUUUUUAAUUUUGUGCUGCUGCCUCUUGUAGCCUUUCUGCUUCUCGUCUUCCCCUAAUGAGGACCACCUGCCCUUUAUAUCGCUGGGCCUGCAGUCUUACACUGAUGAAUGUAACUUCGGUGUGUGAAGUACUUGCCAAAUACUAUCCUGAAAAUCACUUUCACUUGUGAACCCCGAAUGUAAACAGGGCCACUAUGUACAACAACAACAGACCUUUUAGUAUAACAAUUAAUAGCAUCUAUUAAAUAUUGUCUCUCACCUUUGUUUC